rnacentral:rRNA from 1 species
CAGCCGCCGCGGGAAUACGGAGGGGGCUAGCGUUGUUCGGAAUUACUGGGCGUAAAGCGCACGUAGGCGGCUUUGUAAGUUAGAGGUGAAAGCCUGGGGCUCAACUCCAGAAUUGCCUUUAAGACUGCAUCGCUUGAACGUCGGAGAGGUGAGUGGAAUUCCGAGUGUAGAGGUGAAAUUCGUAGAUAUUCGGAAGAACACCAGUGGCGAAGGCGGCUCACUGGACGACUGUUGACGCUGAGGUGCGAAAGCGUGGGGAGCAAACAGGAUUAGAUACCCCUGUAGUCCCUGUCUCUUAUAC